rnacentral:rRNA from 1 species
AGCAGCCGCGGUAAUUCCAGCUCCAAUAGCGUAUAUUAAAGUUGUUGCAGUUAAAAAGCUCGUAGUUGAAUUUCGGGGUUAGCAGGUUGGUCGUGCCUUCGGUAUGUACUGGCUUUGCUGAUUCCUCCUUCUUGAAGAACUGUGAUGCUAUUAAUUUGGUGUUGCAGGGAAACAGGACUGUUACUUUGAAAAAAUUAGAGUGUUUAAAGCAGGCUAACGCUUGAAUACAUUAGCAUGGAAUAAUGAAAUAGGACGUUUGAUCCUAUUUUGUUGGUUUCUAGGAUUGACGUAAUGAUUAAUAGGGAUAGUUGGGGGCAUUAGUAUUCAAUUGUCAGAGGUGAAAUUCUUGGAUUUAUUGAAGACUAACUACUGCGAAAGCAUUUGCCAAGGAUGUUUUCAUUAAUCAAGAACGAAAGUUAGGGGAUCGAAGACGAUCAGAUACCGUCGUAG